rnacentral:rRNA from 1 species
UACGGGGGGGGCAAGCGUUGUUCGGAAUUACUGGGCGUAAAGGGCUCGUAGGUGGCCAACUAAGUCAGACGUGAAAUCCCUCGGCUUAACCGGGGAACUGCGUCUGAUACUGGAUGGCUUGAGUUCGGGAGAGGGAUGCGGAAUUCCAGGUGUAGCGGUGAAAUGCGUAGAUAUCAGGAGGAACACCGAUGGCGAAGGCGGGUCUCUGGGCCGAUACUGACGCUGAGGAGCGAAAGCGUGGGGAGCGAACAGG